rnacentral:misc_RNA from 1 species
UCUAUGGAGAAUUGAUGAACGCUGUUCAUCAAUAUAAGUUUCCGUGUUUCGUUUUGUUCAGUUUUGAGAGAACUAUCUCUCAUAUAUAAAUGUAUGUUCUUUGAAAACUAGAUAACAGUGUAGCUCAUAUUUUUUAAUUUUAGUUU